CAGCCGCCGCGGUAAUACGAAGGGUGCAAGCGUUAAUCGGAAUUACUGGGCGUAAAGCGCGCGCAGGCGGUUUGUUAAGUCAGAUGUGAAAUCCCCGAGCUUAACUUGGGAACUGCAUUUGAAACUGGCAAGCUAGAGUCUUGUAGAGGGGGGUAGAAUUCCAGGUGUAGCGGUGAAAUGCGUAGAGACCUGGAGGAAUACCGGUGGCGAAGGCGGCCCCCUGGACAAAGACUGACGCUCAGGUGCGAAAGCGUGGGGAGCAAACAGGAUUAGAGACCCGGGUAGUCCCUGUCUCUUAUAC
rnacentral:rRNA from 1 species